rnacentral:rRNA from 1 species
GACGAACGCUGGCGGCGUGCUUAACACAUGCAAGUCGAGCGGUAAGGCCCUUUCGGGGGUACACGAGCGGCGAACGGGUGAGUAACACGUGGGUGACCUGCCCUUAGCUCUGGGAUAAGCCUGGGAAACUGGGUCUAAUACCGGAUAUGACUCCAUGACGCAUGUUGUGGGGUGGAAAGCCUUGUGCGGCUAGGGAUGGGCCCGCGGCCUAUCAGCUUGUUGGUGGGGUGAUGGCCUACCAAGGCGACGACGGGUAGCCGGCCUGAGAGGGCGACCGGCCACACUGGGACUGAGACACGGCCCAGACUCCUACGGGAGGGCAGCAGUGGGGAAUCUUGCGCAAUGGGCGAAAGCCUGACGCAGCGACGCCGCGUGAGGGAUGACGGCCUGG